rnacentral:rRNA from 1 species
GAUGAACGCUGGCGGCGUGCCUAAUACAUGCAAGUCGAGCGAACAGACGAGGAGCUUGCUCCUCUGACGUUAGCGGCGGACGGGUGAGUAACACGUGGAUAACCUACCUAUAAGACUGGGAUAACUUCGGGAAACCGGAGCUAAUACCGGAUAAUAUAUUGAACCGCAUGGUUCAAUAGUGAAAGACGGUUUUGCUGUCACUUAUAGAUGGAUCCGCGCCGCAUUAGCUAGUUGGUAAGGUAACGGCUUACCAAGGCAACGAUGCGUAGCCGACCUGAGAGGGUGAUCGGCCACACGGGAACUAAGACACGGUCCAGACUCCUACGGGAGGCAGCAGUAGGGAAUCUUCCGCAAUGGGCGAAAGCCGGACGGAGCAACGCCGCGUGAGUGAUGAAGGUCUUCGGAUCGUAAAACUCUGUUAUUAGGGAAGAACAAAUGUGUAAGUAACUAUGCACGUCUUGACGGUACCUAAUCAGAAAGCCACGGCUAACUACGUG